ACCGAAACAGUUCAGCUGGGAGAGCGUUAGACUAUAGAUCGAAAAGUCCCUGGUUCGAUACCGGGUUUCGGCA
rnacentral:tRNA from 1 species